rnacentral:rRNA from 1 species
GACGAACGCUGGCGGCGUGCCUAAUACAUGCAAGUAGAACGCACAGUUUAUACCGUAGCUUGCUACACCAUAGACUGUGAGUUGCGAACGGGUGAGUAACGCGUAGGUAACCUGCCUGGUAGCGGGGGAUAACUAUUGGAAACGAUAGCUAAUACCGCAUAAUAUUGAUUAUUGCAUGAUAAUUAAUUGAAAGGUGCAAUUGCACCACUACCAGAUGGACCUGCGUUGUAUUAGCUAGUAGGUGAGGUAACGGCUCACCUAGGCGACGAUACAUAGCCGACCUGAGAGGGUGAUCGGCCACACUGGGACUGAGACACGGCCCAGACUCCUACGGGAGGCAGCAGUAGGGAAUCUUCGGCAAUGGACGAAAGUCUGACCGAGCAACGCCGCGGGAGUGAAGAAGGUUUUCGGAUCGUAAAGCUCUGUUGUAAGAGAAGAACGGGUGUGAGAGUGGAAAGUUCACACUGUGACGGUAGCUUACCAGAAAGGGACGGCUAACUACGUG